rnacentral:lncRNA from 1 species
CGGCGGAUUCGGGCGCCCGGUGUGCUCCGUCGACUGACCCCGAGCUGUCCGAAUCCGGCCUCGGCCACCGGGGGCGGGGCGUGAAAAGGGGGCGUCUCCUCCCGGGUGCAGGCUGAGGGGCCCGGACCACCCCCACUGCGGACGAGGGACCCUGACCGCGCCCCGCUUCCUUUCCAUAACGAGUGGACCCCUCCCGGAGCACCUUCAGCCCUUCCUCCACGGGAGACCCCCCCAGCGCCGGCACGAGAGAUGCCAGCGGACCCCCACCCCUGACACACCUGCGCCGCCUCCGAAACGCGAUCUGUCCGGCGCCUCCCCUCGGGCGCCUUCUCCCCCGAGCCGGCCGGGAGCCGGGACGGGGGCGCGCAGGGUCCGGUCGCCAAUCUGCUUUUCUCCCAUUGCUGCGUCUUAGAGGGGUGUGGUGCCAUGAUACCACUUUUGAAAAUCCUGUUGAAUGCAAGUCCUCUUUGUUGCUCAUUGAACAAUGAGGAUAUUUAGCUCCCCUCAGAGCUACCCUCAGAGUUGGAUGAGCUAUCCUCAGAGUUGGAUGCCACCACCGGGAGCAGCAAAAGCGAAGGCAACUCAUGAUUCUGCCUCAGAAGCAAUCGAAUAAAAUAUUUUGAAAAUGAAAAAAAAAAAAAAAAAA